rnacentral:rRNA from 1 species
GUAGGUGGCAAGCGUUGUCCGGAAUUAUUGGGCGUAAAGCGCGCGCAGGCGGUUCUUUAAGUCUGAUGUGAAAGCCCACGGGCUCAACCGUGGAGGGUCAUUGGAAACUGGAGAACUUGAGUACAGAAGAGGAAAGCGGAAUUCCACGUGUAGCGGUGAAAUGCGUAGAGAUGUGGAGGAACACCAGUGGCGAAGGCGGCUUUCUGGUCUGUAACUGACGCUGAGGCGCGAAAGCGUGGGGAGCAAACAGGAUUAGAUACCCUGGUAGUCCACGCCGUAAACGAUGAGUGCUAAGUGUAGGGGGUUUCCGCCCCUUAGUGCUGCAGCUAACGCAUUAAGCACUCCGCCUGGGGAGUACGGCCGCAAGGCUG